rnacentral:ncRNA from 2 species
GCGCAUUCUCAGGGCGGGGUGAAAUUCCCCACCGGCGGUGACAGUCCGCGAGCGCCAUCAUGCCGAUGGGUCAGCAGAGCCGGUGGAAUUCCGGGACCGACGGUGAAAGUCCGGACGGGAGAGAAAGGGG